GCCGCUAUAGCUCAGUUGGUAGAGCGUCGCCAUGGUAAGGCGAAGGUCACCAGUUCAAACCUGGUUGGCGGCUCCA
rnacentral:tRNA from 1 species